rnacentral:rRNA from 1 species
GAUGAACGCUGGCGGCGUGCUUAACACAUGCAAGUCGAACGGAAAGGCUCCUGCUUGCAGGGGGUACUCGAGUGGCGAACGGGUGAGUAACACGUGGGUGAUCUGCCCUGCACUUCGGGAUAAGCCUGGGAAACUGGGUCUAAUACCGGAUAGGACGAUGGUUUGGAUGCCAUUGUGGAAAGUUUUUCGGUGUGGGAUGAGCUCGCGGCCUAUCAGCUUGUUGGUGGGGUAAUGGCCUACCAAGGCGUCGACGGGUAGCCGGCCUGAGAGGGUGUACGGCCACAUUGGGACUGAGAUACGGCCCAGACUCCUACGGGAGGCAGCAGUGGGGAAUAUUGCACAAUGGGCGCAAGCCUGAUGCAGCGACGCCGCGUGGGGGAUGACGGCCUUCGGGUUGUAAACUCCUUUCGCUAGGGACGAAGCGCAAGUGACGGUACCUGGAGAAGAAGCACCGGCUAACUACGUG